UCAUUGUCUUUAUCAUACUCCUUAACUCCAUCACACCCCUUCGAGCAUGAUCUGUUAUUGAAUGCAGCUUAUUCUUUUGCAAGGCGGUGUCUCUGCUCCUAUAAAAGGUUACGGCAACGACAACCCGUCAACAGAACAACAUAUGUCAUCAAUGAUCUUGCAUCAAGCUUCUUUGUCCAGUUAUUAAUGUAUAUUUAAAGCAUGACGAAUGCAAUUGAGAAAGAGGCGCCUCCUCUGUUCCCAAGGUUCCAGGUGAACUCCUUCCGCAAAACCUUGACCUUUUGGACACAAGAUCUCCGGUCAAUCUCCCUAUCAAGAGUUGGUUGCAAAGUUUUUGCUUGCCAAUGAGUGACGUUCCAUACAUAUUUCCAUGGUGAGCCACGAAGCCGUUUGAUUCAUAGUGGAUGGAGCGUGUUUGUUUCAUUGAUGUGAAGUAUCUAAUUCUUCUAUAGAGGCGAGAAUGUGGAACUUGAAAAAGUAUUAAAAAGGACGAAUUAAGCAAGAGGGAAGAUUCAAUGCAGAAAAUGUAUCAAUGGAUCAGUUGCAGUCACCAAUUUAUAUUAAAAAGAACAGGGGAGGAGUUUUGUAAACGAUGGAGGCUGCAUCAUGGAGAAUCGGGGAUGGUCUCUCAAGUGGCAUCUGGAGCUAUACAGUGUCUUUAUAAUUAAUCCAACUCUCAGACCAGAUUUUUUUUAUCAAUCUCAAAAUUUUUGUUAUGUCUUUUUCUCUGCUUUUCAAUAAAUGUUGAGAGCUCUGCAAAUCUGUCAAGAACACUUAGCAAUUGUAAGGGAGAGUCCUUUUAUUCACUUUUGAUAUCGUGACAGCAUUUAUAUGUAACGACAUAGUAUGUAACCUACAGCUAUACACACUAAAUUACAGAAUGUAACCGACCUAUAUA